rnacentral:rRNA from 1 species
GGUUAAGCGACUAAGCGUACACGGUGGAUGCCCUGGCAGUCAGAGGCGAUGAAGGGCGUGCUAAUCUGCGAUAAGCGCCGGUAAGGUGAUAUGAACCGUUAUAACCGGCGAUACCCGAAUGGGGAAACCCAGUGUGAUUCGUCACACUAUCAUUAACUGAAUCCAUAGGUUAAUGAGGCGAACCGGGGGAACUGAAACAUCUAAGUACCCCGAGGAAAAGAAAUCAACCGAGAUUCCCCCAGUAGCGGCGAGCGAACGGGGAGGAGCCCAGAGCCUGAAUCAGCAUGUGUGUUAGUGGAAGCGUCUGGAAAGGCGCGCGAUACAGGGUGACAGCCCCGUACACAAAAGCGCAUGUGCUGUGAGCUCGAUGAGUAGGGCGGGACACGUGGUAUCCUGUCUGAAUAUGGGGGGACCAUCCUCCAAGGCUAAAUACUCCUGACUGACCGAUAGUGAACCAGUACCGUGAGGGAAAGGCGAAAAGAACCCCGGCGAGGGGAGUGAAAAAGAACCUGAAACCGUGUACGUACAAGCAGUGGGAGCACCCUUUGGGUGUGACUGCGUACCUUUUGUAUAAUGGGUCAGCGACUUAUAUUCUGUAGCAAGGUUAACCGAAUAGGGGAGCCGGAGGGAAACCGAGUCUUAACCGGGCGUUAAGUUGCAGGGUAUAGACCCGAAACCCGGUGAUCUAGCCAUGGGCAGGUUGAAGGUUGGGUAACACUAACUGGAGGACCGAACCGACUAAUGUUGAAAAAUUAGCGGAUGACCUGUGGCUGGGGGUGAAAGGCCAAUCAAACCGGGAGAUAGCUGGUUCUCCCCGAAAGCUAUUUAGGUAGCGCCUCGUGAAUUCAUCUCCGGGGGUAGAGCACUGUUUCGGCUAGGGGGCCAUCCCGGCUUACCAACCCGAUGCAAACUGCGAAUACCGGAGAAUGUUAUCACGGGAGACACACGGCGGGUGCUAACGUCCGUCGUGAAGAGGGAAACAACCCAGACCGCCAGCUAAGGUCCCAAAGUCAUGGUUAAGUGGGAAACGAUGUGGGAAGGCCCAGACAGCCAGGAUGUUGGCUUAGAAGCAGCCAUCAUUUAAAGAAAGCGUAAUAGCUCACUGGUCGAGUCGGCCUGCGCGGAAGAUGUAACGGGGCUAAACCAUGCA